UUCAGACAUUCAACUUCAGAUGUUUUUCCGGUGGUAAAAAGUGUUUGAAAUGCCCACACAGCCUGCCAUUCCUUGCCCUUUAAAGAGGAUUACGCUCAUGUUUGUGCCUGGCGGGACAGACUUAGACCACAGCUGAAAGGAUUUUCAGCCCUGAUAACAAGCCAAACUACGAGAGUUAACAAAAGCGGUUUACCAACCAGAAACAUUAUAAACUUCCUCAGAAUAAUUCACCAGUGUAAAUCACUAAUUUAAUUAGGGAAGAGAAGACAAUAGUCAAAUCUGCAAAGUCAUAACUUUAUUGUCCUUGAUAAAAAGAUAUCAUGCAGUUGAGUAUCUAUCAUAAAAUGUUCAAAAAAAGUAAUCAACAAAAAUUCAGAUCAGCCUGGAUUGAAUGGUUUGCUUGAGGUCAUUAUGAAGAUUCGGGCUUGAAAUGACUGAAAA